GCCAGUAUCUAGGCACCCUGAACGCGCCUGAUCUGAUCUGAUCUCGGAAGCUCAGCAGGUUCGGGCCUGGUUAGUACUUGGAUGGGAGAUCACCUGGGAAUACCGGGUGCUGCAGGCC
ensembl:rRNA 5S_rRNA 5S ribosomal RNA